CUUGACCUCAGAUCAGGCAAGGCUACCCGCUGAAUUUAAGCAUAUCAAUAAGCGGAGGAA
rnacentral:rRNA from 1 species